rnacentral:misc_RNA from 1 species
AACUAAAAUAUACAGAUUUUGGAUAUUUAUAGAGUUUCUAACUCUCCUAAACUAACUAGGAGUAUAUGCCUAACAUUUAGGAAUUUUAGCUAAACUAAAUACAAUUGGAAAUCUAGAUAAGGUAGGAAAACUUAAGUUUUCGAUAAAGUAGGAAAUUUAAAUAACUAAUCCUUAAUUGAAUAGGGAAAAAACAAAUCCUAAAUAGGGUUGGAAAUUUCCUAAAUUAUUCCAAAUGGAAUUCUGCUGCUGUUACUUGAUAAAACAGGAAGUACAAGUUGAAUUGGGACUACUGGGGACAAAAUCAAUCAAACAAAAUGGUAAGCGUCACUGCUGUCCAGAGAAUCCCUCACCCUGGGUGUGGGAUUGGGCAGUGUUUCACACCCAGGACGUGAAACACUCUACUGAUUUCUGUUUUGCCCACACUUGUUGCUUUUCCCCUGUUCUCAUUCUAGCUUUCUUCCUUUGUCUUUUGACUUGCUUCUUUGCUCAAAAUGCCUUGCAUCAUAUGCCGCGGGGUUCUUUGAAUUCACUGUCAUAGCAUUUUCUAUAGAUUAUAUGAGCAUAUUUAAUCCAUGAGA